rnacentral:rRNA from 1 species
ACCGGCGCACGGCGUGAGUAACACGUAUCCAACCUACCCCCCUUUCGGGGAUAGCCUUUCGAAAGAAAGAUUAAUACCCGAUAGUCUAGGAAUAAAGCAUUUUAUUUUUAGUAAAGAAUUUCGGUGCUUGAUGGGGAUGCGUUCCAUUAGAUUGUUGGUGAGGUAACGGCUCACCAAGUCUUCGAUGGAUAGGGGUUCUGAGAGGAAGGUCCCCCACAUUGGAACUGAGACACGGUCCAAACUCCUACGGGAGGCAGCAGUGAGGAAUAUUGGUCAAUGGACGAGAGUCUGAACCAGCCAAGUAGCGUGAAGGACGAAGGCCCUACGGGUCGUAAACUUCUUUUAUAGGGGAAUAAAGUGGAGAACGUGUUCUCCUUUGUAUGUACCCUACGAAUAAGGAUCGGCUAACUCCGUGCCAGCAGCCGCGGUAAUACGGAGGAUCCAAGCGUUAUCCGGAUUUAUUGGGUUUAAAGGGAGCGUAGGUGGACGUAUAAGUCAGUUGUGAAAGUUUGCGGCUCAACCGUAAAAUUGCAGUUGAUACUGUAUGUCUUGAGUGUACAAGAGGUGGGCGGAAUUCGUGGUGUAGCGGUGAAAUGCUUAGAUAUCACGAAGAACUCCGAUUG